GACAGAGGGUGCAAACGUUGUUCGGAAUUACUGGGCGUAAAGCGCGUGUAGGCGGCACGGCAAGUCGGAUGUGAAAGCCCGCGGCUCAACCGUGGAAGUGCACUCGAAACUGCCGAGCUAGAGUCUCGGAGAGGAAGGUGGAAUGCUUGGUGUAGAGGUGAAAUUCGUAGAUAUCAAGCAGAACACCUGUGGCGAAGGCGGCCGUCUGGACGAUGACUGACGCUGAGACGCGAAAGCGUGGGGAGCAAACAGG
rnacentral:rRNA from 1 species